rnacentral:rRNA from 1 species
UACGAAGGGGGGCUAGCGUUGCUCGGAAUCACUGGGCGUAAAGGGUGCGUAGGCGGGUCUUUAAGUCAGGGGUGAAAUCCUGGAGCUCAACUCCAGAACUGCCUUUGAUACUGAAGAUCUUGAGUUCGGGAGAGGUGAGUGGAACUGCGAGUGUAGAGGUGAAAUUCGUAGAUAUUCGCAAGAACACCAGUGGCGAAGGCGGCUCACUGGGCCGGUCCUGACGCUGAGACGCGAAGGCGUGGGAGCGAACGGG